UACAGAGGUCCCAAGCGUUGUUCGGAUUCACUGGGCGUAAAGGGUGCGUAGGUGGCAAGGUAAGUUUGAUGUGAAAUCUUCGAGCUCAACUCGGAAACUGCAUUGAAUACUAUCUUGCUUGAGGAUUGGAGGGGAGGCUGGAAUUCUCGGUGUAGCAGUGAAAUGCGCAGAUAUCAGGAGGAACACCAAUGGCGAAGGCAGCUCGCUGGGACGUGACUGACGCUGAGACGCGAAAGCGUGGGGAGCAAACAGG
rnacentral:rRNA from 1 species